CCUACGGGGUGCAGCAGUGGGGAAUAUUGCACAAUGGGGGAAACCCUGAUGCAGCGACGCCACGUGAGUGAAGAAGUAUUUCGGUACGUAAAGCUCUAUCAGCAGGGAAGAAAAUGACGGUACCUGACUAAGAAGCCCCGGCUAACUACGUGCCAGCAGCCGCGGUAAUACGGAGGGGGCAAGCGUUAUCCGGAUUUACUGGGUGUAAAGGGAGCGUAGACGGCAGCGCAAGUCUGGAGUGAAAUCCCAUGGCUUAACCAUGGAACUGCUUUGGAAACUGUGCAGCUAGAGUGCAGGAGAGGUAGGCGGAAUUCCUGGUGUAGCGGUGAAAUGCGUAGAUAUUAGGAAGAACACCAGUGGCGAAGGCAGCUUACUAGACUGUAACUGACGUUGAGGCUCGAAAGCGUGGGGAGCAAACAGGAUUAGAUACCCUGGUAGUC
rnacentral:rRNA from 1 species